GCAGUAGCCGCGGUAAUACGAAGGGUGCAAGCGUUAAUCGGAAUUACUGGGCGUAAAGCGCGCGUAGGUGGUUUGGUAAGAUGGAUGUGAAAUCCCCGGGCUCAACCUGGGAACUGCAUCCAUAACUGCCUGACUAGAGUACGGUAGAGGGUGGUGGAAUUUCCUGUGUAGCGGUGAAAUGCGUAGAUAUAGGAAGGAACACCAGUGGCGAAGGCGACCACCUGGACUGAUACUGACACUGAGGUGCGAAAGCGUGGGGAGCAAACAGGAUUAGAGACCCCGGUAGUCCCUGUCUCUUAUAA
rnacentral:rRNA from 1 species